rnacentral:tRNA from 2 species
GGGCUUAUAGCUCAGUUGGUUAGAGCAACAGACUCAUAAUCUGGAGGUCCCUGGUUCAAGCCCAGGUUGGCCCA